rnacentral:rRNA from 1 species
GGAAAUUUGAGAGGAGCUGUCCUUAGUACGAGAGGACCGGGAUGGACAUACCUCUGGUGUACCAGUUGUCGUGCCAACGGCAUAGCUGGGUAGCUAUGUGUGGACGGGAUAAGUGCUGAAAGCAUCUAAGCAUGAAGCCCCCCUCAAGAUGAGAUUUCCCAACUUCGGUUAUAAGAUCCCUCAAAGAUGAUGAGGUUAAUAGGUUCGAGGUGGAAGCAUGGUGACAUGUGGAGCUGACGAAUACUAAUCGAUCGAAGACUUAAUCAAAUU